rnacentral:rRNA from 1 species
AUACGUAGGGGGCAAGCGUUGUCCGGAAUGAUUGGGCGUAAAGGGCGCGUAGGCGGCCCGGUAAGUCUGGAGUGAAAGUCCUGCUUUUAAGGUGGGAAUUGCUUUGGAUACUGCUGGGCUUGAGUGCAGGAGAGGUAAGUGGAAUUCCCGGUGUAGCGGUGAAAUGCGUAGAGAUCGGGAGGAACACCAGUGGCGAAGGCGACUUACUGGACUGUAACUGACGCUGAGGCGCGAAAGUGUGGGGAGCAAACAGGAUUAGAUACCCUGGUAGUCCACACUGUAAACGAUGAAUGCUAGGUGUAGGGGGUAUCGACCCCUUCUGUGCCGGAGUUAACACAAUAAGCAUUCCGCCUGGGGAGUACGGCCGCAAGGUUGAA